rnacentral:rRNA from 1 species
CGAACGGGUGAGUAAUGCGUGACCAACCUGCCCCAUGCUCCAGAAUAGCUCUUGGAAACGGGUGGUAAUGCUGGAUGCUCCAACUUGACGCAUGUCUUGUUGGGAAAGUGUUUAGUGGCAUGGGAUGGGGUCGCGUCCUAUCAGCUUGUAGGCGGGGUAAUGGCCCACCAGGCUUCGACGGGUAGCCGGCCUGAGAGGGCGGACGGCCACAUUGGGACUGAGAUACGGCCCAGACUCCUACGGGAGGCAGCAGGG